CUACUGAGACUGUGUGACCUGUGGGCUUCCCUUUGUCAUCCUAUGCCUGGAGAUCACAGUGAGGCAGGGACAGCAAAGGGAUGCUCAGCUGUCGUCUCUUCC
rnacentral:pre_miRNA from 7 species